rnacentral:rRNA from 1 species
AACAAACGCUGGCGGCGUGCCUGAUACAUGCAAGUCGAACGGGGAAAGCUUUCGGGUGAGUACUAGUGGCGCACGGGUGAGUAACGCGUGGAUAAUCUGCCUUAGAGUGGGGGAUAACCAGUCGAAAGAUUGGCUAAUACCGCAUAAGACCACAAGAGCUGCGGCUCAAGGGGUCAAAGGUUUUUCGCUUUAAGAUGAGUCCGCGUAAGAUUAGCUAGUUGGUAGGGUAAUGGCCUACCAAGGCGACGAUCUUUAACUGGUCUGAGAGGAUGAUAAGUCACACUGGAACUGAGACACGGUCCAGACUCCUACGGGAGGCAGCAGUAGGGAAUAUUGCACAAUGGAGGAAACUCUGACGCAGCGACGCCGCGUGAGUGAUGAAGGCCUUCGGGUCGUAAAGCUCUGUCGCAGGGGAAUAACACAAUGAAUGUACCCUGUAAGAAAGGAUCGGCUAACUUCGUGCCAGCAGCCGCCGUAAUAC